rnacentral:rRNA from 1 species
GUGCCAGCAGCCGCGGUAAUACCGGCAGCCCGAGUGAUGGCCGAUCUUAUUGGGCCUAAAGCGUCCGUAGCUGGCUGCGCAAGUCCGUCGGGAAAUCCACUCGCCCAACGAGUGGGCGUCCGACGGAAACUGCACAGCUUGGGACCGGAAGGCUCGAGGGGUACGUCUGGGGUAGGAGUGAAAUCCCGUAAUCCUGGACGGACCGCCGAUGGCGAAAGCACCUCGAGAGGACGGACCCGACAGUGAGGGACGAAAGCCAGGGUCUCGAACCGGAUUAGAUACCCCGGUAGUCC